CCUACCCCUAGAGGCAUUACAGGUGUGGUUGCUGUCUCACACAUGUAUCAGUAGAUGGCAGAGAGAAGAAAGCCCAAGUCUACACUCAGUGUUCUGAUCUGUGAACAUCUGAAUGAUUAGUAGUAGCCUAAUAUU
ensembl:snoRNA LOC120100422 small nucleolar RNA SNORA17